GGGGGGGGGGUUCGGCUGGGUUAAAGGCCCUCCAGGUGAUUCUAAUGGCACUUAAGGCCAGAAGGUCCUGACUCUGCCUUGAAACGACAAGCCCUUCCAGAAGUUGGAUGGAGGGGGAUCAGAGGAAGCCGGGAAAACAGAAAGUUGUUUUAAACGCACCCAGGAUUUUGUUCUCAGCAGGACUGGACUCAUGCAGGGCACAAGGUGACUACGCUAGGACCAGGCAGGAUUGUCGCCCUGCUUCAGUGUCUUUAAGUGACUCACACCACAAGGUCCUUACGCCCCAUAAGGUACCAACUCAUAGGCUGUGGGAAUUAGCAUGUGAGUGUCUUUGGGGCUGGCGGGGGUGGGGGAGCACUCAUUCUGCCUUCUCGGAAGGAGGAAGACACACACACACACACACACUCCUUUUUUUUUUUUUGGUUGUCAAAUAAUCUUUAAUUUUUCUUUGAAGUUCUUAGCUAGCUGGGCAUUCCACUGCACCACUGUUGAUGUCAUCUAUGAUGUUGUGAGGGUGAUGGCCAUCAACAUUGCAUGCAGCCCACAGACUGGGCAGUCCACAGGAUUUCUUUUAGGGUUCCAGAAAGUUCUCUAGCUAAAGAUUGAUGCUGCAUCUGUUGGGCAAUGAAAGCCCUGGAGCCCAGAAGUGGUGUGACCUCAGCCUUGAGGCCUCAUUGGGAAAACCAAGGCCAGAGCUGGGUGAGAAGCCCGAGUUUGGGUUGAGAGGGGGGGUUCGUGGGCAGGGGGGCAGGUGGUGGGGAGAGCAGUGCACUUGGAAGCCUCUCUGCAGAGUGAAGGGGAUGAAAGUCCGUUGUGCGUUGUGGAUUUUUGCUGCGUUGCCUCGUGCCCUGUAUCCCAGGAGGACAGCCCACCCACUGCCAUCACUGGGCCACCCUUGCUCUUCCUGAGGGUGACAGGCCCAUGCUUCCUCAGCCUAAGGAUGCCCCCAGGGAUGAAGGCCAAGGUCAGGCCCUCUGUCUACAGCUGAGCUGCUGCCCAGGGCAUCCCUGUGUCUUGGCUGCAUGUUUCCUGCCCCCAGAGCACCAGCAUUCCACCUGCUCUCCAUUGGGCUAACAUUAUCCUCUUUGGGUGGCACAUUUAAUAUAUCCGAAAAGAAAAUUAAAACCAAUGACACUGCCUGCAUUGGAAAGCAAUGGCCCUACCUUGGGAAGGAGGUGGGCACCUUGUCUCUGGGGACUAGUGGGGAAGAAGAGUGGAGAUCAGGACAAGGAGCAUCCAGGACACCUAGUCCCUGAGAGUCUUGUGGUGGCUGGACACUUGCUUCACACACUCAUUAAGUCUCUUCCCCAGCCCUGGACCUGGGUGUUGCUCUUCCCAGUUUACAGACAAGAACCAAAUCUCAAGAGGCCUCAACACACACACACACACGAGGCAUAUUUCCUGGUUCUGUCCCAGACCUUCUGUGGGGAUGAGCCUGUCAUGCUGCCCAUCUCAGAGAGUCUGUAACUCCUGAGUUCAAGGAGCUCUGCCACUCCCUCUGGGUGCCCAGGAUGAGGCCAGCAGAGGUUAAUAAUCUAACUCCAGCCCCUAGGACUGGCUGGCUGGCCUCAGAACCUGAAAAACCCCUUGUGUAGAAAAUGCAAACCCAACCUGUGUGGUAUAAGUAGCGCCUUUUGCUAUUUGAAUGUUAUUCAAAUAAAAGAUUAGGAACCCCAGGCAGCUUACAUUACCAUCUCCACAGGCAAAAACAAAAAAGAUCUAUGUUUAGGACCAGGGAUUUGUUAUUUGACCACAAAGAAGAAAAGCCUCUUUCUCUUUUAAUGUAAAAUAAUGGAACUCCAGUGUGGCCAGCAUGGCUGGGGACAUUCUAGACUAAUCCCUCACCCGGCCCCACCUCCCGCACUCAGAGCCCCCACCCCCACCAGGCGGCAGCUCCUAGUCAGAGGGUAGAAGAAAAUGAUUAACAUUUUAACAGUGUGGGGAGAAGCUGCCUAGGCUGACUCCUCAUCCCUCCCUCUGGCCCUUCUCUUCCAGGAAGGUCAUCUGUAUUAUCAUCCUAUUGCUGCUGUAACAAAUUAGCACCAAUCUAGUGACUUACCAGUUUCUACCUUACAUUCUGGGGGUCAGAAGUGCAGGAUGGGUUUCACAAGCCACAGGUAGGGUACCUGUAGACUGUUUCUUCUGGAAGAUCCUGUCCCUUUGCCAGCAUUUAGAGGCCCCCUCUGUCCUAGCUCAUGGCCCCUUCCUCCACCUUCACAGCCAGCACUGUAGCACUCACCAAUCUCUCCGACCCUGCCACCUCCCUCCAUCACCUACAGGGGCCUUUGUGGUGACCUUGUCCCACCCAGGUGACCCAGGAUCAUGUCCCCAAUCAUGCCUCCAGAGUUCUUUUUUCCCUAUAAGGUGACUUAUUCAUGAGAAUAUUGUCCCCGUCUGUGCAUGUGGGUUGGAAGAAGAAUUUCCAGUCACAGAGUGAGGUGAAGAGAAAGAAGAGUUUAUUGAGAUAAGAAAUGCUGCUAGUGCAGCAGGAAACGCCUUCCUGAUGAUCAGGGAGAGCUACUCUGGGCACAUGGUCAUGUCUGCUUCUACGGCCCAGGGAGAGGGGAGGUCUCAGGAUAUAUCGGCUGACCUGCUGAUUAGUUGGGGAAAGAGGGGCCUUAUGAUACACUUGCUCAUUUGUUGGGGACAUGAGGAGUGGGCCUCAUACCUUUCCUCGUAGGGGGCAGGUGGCUCAAGGUGGGGGAGGGGCAUUACAAUGAGCCAGGUGGGGCAAUGUUAAGGGUCUGGUCAUUCUUGGCUUGGCCAAAGGCUUUGAGUUCAAUCUCCUUGAAGAGGCUCUGAAGCCCCACAAACACAUCCAGGGAUUAGGCCCUGGAUCUCUUUGGGGGCCAUGACUCUUUUUACUGCACAAGCUCAACCCUGGUUUGAAAGGCAAGCUGGGGGAAUUCCAAGCAGACCUCCAACCACCUUACCCCCUGUGAAAGAGACACUAGGCUUCUCUCAGAUUUAUGGUGAUUUCAUGUCACUUCAAACUAGCUAUUUUCUCACGGUUCUGGUGUAUCUGUGGAUAUGUUGCCAUUUAAUUAUGUGCCACACCAACACCUUGAGCCUCUCACCCAGUGCAGGGAGGGGAGUCAGGCAAGGUCUUCUUGCAAGAGACAUCCAGAGACUUGGAGCAGGUGAAAGAGACGAGUCUUUCCCCAUUUAAGGAAAGCAGUCAGCUCCACUUACAAAGGCUGCAUUUCCCUUGCAAAAGAGUCUCAUCACCAGCUUCUUUUAUGAUUUCCUCUCAGCCAGAGUGAGCUGCUUUCUGAGGCACUGCCUCUUUGCAGACAACUGUCUGAGCCCUGAAUUAGGUUCUCAUCUCGAGCCACAUUUAAUUAGGAGGUUUGCCGGGAGGUUGUGAGUGAGCACGAUGAAAGGAGCUGUCAGGUCCCCUGAGGUUUCUCUCAACUAAAUAUGUACCCUGGAUUUAUGGAAAAUAUUCUUUUAACCUAUUUUAUUUAUCCUCAGUAUUAAACCUAUUCAUGCCAGGCUUGUAAUUAUUAAGAAACUUUAUCAAGUGGCUUGGCUCAAGCUAAAAUCAAAACCAAA
rnacentral:lncRNA from 1 species